GAAAAAUGCAUCUUGAUCAUUUAAGUCUUCUAGUAAUAAGGUCGGGUCCAAGGCAGUGGUGCCCCAUCUUUGGGAUGCAUGAAAACUUAUCAGGUGUGUCUAGGCUCCCGCUGCACAGUUUGUCUAUUUUAAUCAGUUUGCUUCUGAAACUUCACUUCCCUCAGGUGAGAAGAGCAGCCAAAGGCUGAGCCCGGGCUCCCACUGGGAAUUGCCCGAAUGGAAAGCUUCGCACCAGCAAUCCACGUAUCACUCGAACGUGCCAUGAACAAUAAUAUUUUGAUUAAUGGAUUCAAUCAAACAGAUUCUGGCUUAAGAAAUAAACCCCGUGUGUAUUCUUUUCUACAACUGAUGGGCUGCUUGAGACAUUGGAGAAGUAAGUCAAUAGCUCCUCUAGACAAGCUCGUUGGGAAAACUGCCUGGGCCAACAGGCAGUGAGAACUGUCGCUUCUGGCAAGGACUUCUCCAUGUUACAUCCAACUCUUGUUUUUUUUGACUGUUACCUACAAUUACAA
rnacentral:lncRNA from 1 species